rnacentral:rRNA from 1 species
GACAGAGGGUGCAAACGUUGCUCGGAAUCACUGGGCGUAAAGGGCGUGUAGGCGGGAAGGAAAGUCGGGCGUGAAAUCCCUGGGCUCAACCCAGGAACUGCACUCGAAACUUCUUUUCUUGAGUGCCGGAGAGGAAAGCGGAAUUCCUGGUGUAGAGGUGAAAUUCGUAGAUAUCAGGAGGAACACCAGUGGCGAAGGCGGCUUUCUGGACGGGUAA